AGCAGCCGCGGUAAUUCCAGCUCCAAUAGCGUAUAUUAAAGUUGUUGCAGUUAAAAGCUCGUAGUUGAAUUUCGGGGUUAGUAGGUUGGUCAUGCCUCUGGUAUGUACUGGUCUCACUGAUUCCUCCUUCCUGAUGAACCUUAAUGCCAUUAAUUUGGUGUUUUGGGGAAUUUGGACUGUUACUUUGAAAAAUUAGAGUGUUUAAAGCAAGCUAACGCUUGAAUACAUUAGCAUGGAAUAAUGAAAUAGGACGUUCGAUCCUAUUUUGUUGGUUUCUAGGAUUGACGUAAUGAUUAAUAGGGAUAGUUGGGGGCAUUAGUAUUCAAUUGUCAGAGGUGAAAUUCUUGGAUUUAUUGAAGACUAACUACUGCGAAAGCAUUUGCCAAGGAUGUUUUCAUUAAUCAAGAACGAAAGUUAGGGAUCGAAGACGAUCAGAUACCGUCGUAGUCUUAACCAUAAACUAUGCCGACUAGGGAUCGGAUGAUGUUAAUUUUUUAAUGACUCAUUCGGCGCCUUAACC
rnacentral:misc_RNA from 1 species